rnacentral:rRNA from 1 species
UGAGUAAUGUCUGGGAAACUGCCUGAUGGAGGGGGAUAACUACUGGAAACGGUAGCUAAUACCGCAUAACGUCGCAAGACCAAAGAGGGGGACCUUCGGGCCUCUUGCCAUCAGAUGUGCCCAGAUGGGAUUAGCUAGUAGGUGGGGUAAUGGCUCACCUAGGCGACGAUCCCUAGCUGGUCUGAGAGGAUGACCAGCCACACUGGAACUGAGACACGGUCCAGACUCCUACGGGAGGCAGCAGUGGGGAAUAUUGCACAAUGGGCGCAAGCCUGAUGCAGCCAUGCCGCGUGUGUGAAGAAGGCCUUCGGGUUGUAAAGCACUUUCAGCGAGGAGGAAGGUGGUGAACUUAAUACGUUCAUCAAUUGACGUUACUCGCAGAAGAAGCACCGGCUAACUCCGUGCCAGCAGCCGCGGUAAUACGGAGGGUGCAAGCGUUAAUCGGGAUUACUGGGCGUAAAGCGCACGCAGGCGGUUUGUUAAGUCAGAUGUGAAAUCCCCGGG